CCUACGGGAGGCAGCAGUGGGGAAUAUUGGGCAAUGGACGCAAGUCUGACCCAGCAACGCCGCGUGAAGGAAGAAGGCUUUCGGGUUGUUAACUUCUUUUAAGGGGGAAGAGCAGAAGACGGUACCCCUUGAAUAAGCCACGGCUAACUACGUGCCAGCAGCCGCGGUCAUACGUAGGUGGCAAGCGUUGUCCGGAUUUACUGGGGGUAAAGGGCGUGCAGCCGGCGAGACAAGUCAGAGGUGAAAUCCACGGGCUCAAACCGUGAACUGCAUUUGAAACUGUUUCCCUUGAGUGUCGGAGAGGUAAUCGGAAUUCGUGGUGUAGCGGUGAAAUGCGUAGAUAUAAGGAAGAACACCAGUGGCGAAGGCGGAUUACUGGACGAUAACUGACGGUGAGGCGCGAAAGCGUGGGGAGCAAACAGGAUUAGAUACCCGUGUAGUC
rnacentral:rRNA from 1 species